CAGCCGCCGCGGUAAUACGAAGGGGGCUAGCGUUGUUCGGAUUUACUGGGCGUAAAGCGCACGUAGGCGGACUUUUAAGUCAGGGGUGAAAUCCCGGGGCUCAACCCCGGAACUGCCUUUGAUACUGGAAGUCUUGAGUAUGGUAGAGGUGAGUGGAAUUCCGAGUGUAGAGGUGAAAUUCGUAGAUAUUCUGAGGAACACCAGCGGCGAAGGCGGCUCACUGGACCAUUACUGACGCUGAGAUGCGAAAGCGUGGGGAGCAAACAGGAUUAGAUACCCCGGUAGUCCCUGUCUCUUAUAC
rnacentral:rRNA from 1 species